AACGUUUCAUUUCUGUACAAAACUUAUCAAGAUGCAUCAGUUUGUACUAAUGGAACGAUCU
rnacentral:pre_miRNA from 1 species